GUAGAAAUAGAAAAUGGAAGUGGCGCUGCUAUACGUGCUCCAACUCCAAUAGCAGAAAGCACAGAGAAACCUGAGAGCGGUGUUUUAUCGUGCCAAUUUGAGCUAUAUUUGCGAUUUAAAAUCUUAAAAUGCAGGGAUGGAAAGUUUUUUUUUUAAUAAUUAAUUACCGUUACUCGUUACCGAAUAAAAAAUGUAACUAGUUACUGUUACUCGUUAUUGAUUCUUAAAAGUAACUAGUUACCAUUACCAUUACUUAUAAAAAUAAUUCGUUACUCUUUCCGUUACUUUUUAAUAUUAAUCCUUCGCAUAUAUACACACUGGGUGGUUACCACCUAUAAUUAAAACUUCAGCGCUCUGUGCCUUUUAAGUACCGUAAUAAAUGAAACAAGGAC